GUAAUUCCAGAGAGAGAGGAAGGCGCUUUGACUUGCAGGCAGUAUCUCUGAGUGCAGCGGCUGGUUACUGCAGCAAACUAGAUCUCCAGCACUGGCAGUACCUUGCUGAUGCUGGAUUACAUGAAUGUGGGAUAUAUAUUGUUCAGUGAAUUGUAGAAUGAGAAUUGUCCAUCACAUCUAGCCAAGAUCCAGUUCUAGCAAUCUGGAAAGUGGAGAAGUUUGCAAAUACUUUCAAGUUGGAUCUCAAGCAACAACAAGACAGAAUACAGGAAAGAGGUUGAGUACUUAACGGCGUGGUGUAAAAACAAUAAUCUUUCCAGCAACAUCCUUGAAACAAAAGUGCUGCUCAUUGACUUCAGGAAACAGAGUGGAGAGCACGCCU